AGAGUUUGAUCCUGGCUCAGAUUGAACGCUGGCGGCAUGCCUUACACAUGCAAGUCGAACGGCAGCACGGGAGCAAUCCUGGUGGCGAGUGGCGAACGGGUGAGUAAUAUAUCGGGACGUGCCCAGUCGUGGGGGAUAACGUAGAGAAAUUUACGCUAAUACCGCAUACGAUCUAAGGAUGAAAGCGGGGGAUCGCAAGACCUCGCGCGAUUGGAGCGGCUGAUAUCAGAUUAGGUUGUUGGUGAGGUAAAAGCUCACCAAGCCGACGAUCUGUAGCUGGUCUGAGAGAACGACCAGCCACACUGGGACUGAGACACGGCCCAGACUCCUACGGGAGGCAGCAGUGGGGAAUUUUGGACAAUGGGCGAAAGCCUGAUCCAGCAAUGCCGCGUGCAGGAAGAAGGCCUUCGGGUUGUAAACUGCUUUUGUACGGAACGAAACGGUCUGCCCUAAUACGGUGGGCUAAUGACGGUACCGUAAGAAUAAGCACCGGCUAACUACGUGCCAGCAGCCGCG
rnacentral:rRNA from 1 species